GACGAACGCUGGCGGCGCGCCUAACACAUGCAAGUCGAGCGGGGUGUUACGCUGAAGAUUCCUUCGGGAAGAUUCUUGUAACACUUAGCGGCGGACGGGUGAGUAACACGUGAGCAACCUACCCUGGAGUGGGGAAUAACACUUGGAAACAGGUGCUAAUACCGCAUGAAGUGUACCGAUGGCAUCAUCAGGUACACCAAAGAUUUAUCGCUCUGGGAUGGGCUCGCGCCUGAUUAGAUAGUUGGUGAGGUAAUGGCUCACCAAGUCGACGAUCAGUAGCCGGACUGAGAGGUUGAUCGGCCACAUUGGGACUGAGACACGGCCCAGACUCCUACGGGAGGCAGCAGUGGGGGAUAUUGCACAAUGGAGGAAACUCUGAUGCAGCGACGCCGCGUGAACGAAGACGGUCUUCGGAUUGUAAAGUUCUGUCAACGGGGACGAUAAUGACGGUACCCGUGGAGGAAGCCACGGCUAACUACGUGCCAGCCGCCGC
rnacentral:rRNA from 1 species